ACAAUAGAGACACAUUUUUAGCAGCAAUCCGGGUUUUGAGGCAGGAAUGAUUCUUUGCUAUCACUCUGGCCUUAUGCUCACUUUUUUAUGAAUUGAGGUGUG